rnacentral:rRNA from 1 species
UGGGGAAUAUUGCACAAUGGGCGCAAGCCUGAUGCAGCCAUGCCGCGUGUAUGAAGAAGGCCUUCGGGUUGUAAAGUACUUUCAGUCGGGAGGAAGGUGGUAAGGUUAAUAACCUUAUCAAUUGACGUUACCGACAGAAGAAGCACCGGCUAACUCCGUGCCAGCAGCCGCGGUAAUACGGAGGGUGCAAGCGUUAAUCGGAAUUACUGGGCGUAAAGCGCACGCAGGCGGUUGAUUGAGUCAGAUGUGAAAUCCCCGGGCUUAACCCUGGAAUUGCAUCUGAUACUGGUCAGCUAGAGUCUUGUAGAGGGGGGUAGAAUUCCAUGUGUAGCGGUGAAAUGCGUAGAGAUGUGGAGGAAUACCGGUGGCGAAGGCGGCCCCCUGGACAAAGACUGACGCUCAGGUGCGAAAGCGUGGGGAGCAAACAGG